rnacentral:ncRNA from 1 species
AAGCGAUAAGGGCAAAGCCUGAGUAAUCAGGGGACGCAAAGUCAUGGAUCCUUUGAAGCGCAGUCCUAAAGUAUUGCUAAUGGACUUUUUCUAAAAGAAGGAUCGCCAGACUGCCAAA